rnacentral:rRNA from 1 species
GACAGAGGGUGCAAGCGUUGUUCGGAAUUACUGGGCGUAAAGCGCGUGUAGGCGGUCUGAUAAGUCGGAUGUGAAAGCCCCGGGCUCAACCCGGGAAGUGCAUUCGAAACUGCCAGGCUAGAGUGUCGGAGAGGUUGGUGGAAUUCUCGGUGUAGAGGUGAAAUUCGUAGAUAUCGGGAGGAACACCGGUGGCGAAGGCGGCGACCUGGGUCGAGACUGACGCUGAGGCGCGAAAGCGUGGGGAGCAAACAGG